rnacentral:rRNA from 1 species
UACCAGCACCCCCGAGUGGUCGGGACGAUUAUUGGGCCUAAAGCAUCCGUAGCCGGUUCUACAAGUCUUCCGUUAAAUCCACCUGCUUAACAGAUGGGCUGCGGAGGAUACUAUAGAGCUAGGAGGCGGGAGAGGCAAGCGGUACUCGAUGGGUAGGGGUAAAAUCCGUUGAUCCAUUGAAGACCACCAGUGGCGAAGGCGGCUUGCCAGAACGCGCUCGACGGUGAGGGAUGAAAGCUGGGGGAGCAAACCGG